rnacentral:rRNA from 1 species
UACGUAGGGGGCAAGCGUUGUCCGGAUUUAUUGGGCGUAAAGAGCGUGUAGGCGGUCAGGUAGGUCGGUUGUGAAAACUGGAGGCUCAACCUUCAGAGGUCGACCGAAACCCCCUGGCUAGAGUCGGGAGAGGAGAGUGGAAUUCCUGGUGUAGCGGUGAAAUGCGCAGAUAUCAGGAAGAACACCCGUGGCGAAAGCGGCUCUCUGGAACGGUACUGACGCUGAGACGCGAAAGCGUGGGGAGCGAACAGG